CUCGUUUAGAUUGAAGGAGCUUGCUCCUGAUUGAUAAACAUUUGAGUGAGUGGCGGACGGGUGAGUAACACGUGGGUAACCUGCCCUAAAGUGGGGGAUAACAUUUGGAAACAGAUGCUAAUACCGCAUAAAACCUAACACCGCAUGGUGUAGGGUUGAAAGAUGGUUUCGGCUAUCACUUUAGGAUGGACCCGCGGUGCAUUAGUUAGUUGGUGAGGUAAAGGCUCACCAAGACCGUGAUGCAUAGCCGACCUGAGAGGGUAAUCGGCCACACUGGGACUGAGACACGGCCCAGACUCCUACGGGAGGCAGCAGUAGGGAAUCUUCCACAAUGGACGAAAGUCUGAUGGAGCAACGCCGCGUGAGUGAAGAAGGUUUUCGGAUCGUAAAACUCUGUUGUUGGAGAAGAAUGUAUCUGAUAGUAACUGAUCAGGUAGUGACGGUAUCCAACCAGAAAGCCACGGCUAACUACGUGCCAGCAGCCGCGGUAAUACGUAGGUGGCAAGCGUUGUCCGGAUUUAUUGGGCGUAAAGCGAGCGCAGGCGGUUUCUUAAGUCUGAUGUGAAAGCCUUCGGCUCAACCGAAGAAGUGCAUCGGAAA
rnacentral:rRNA from 1 species